rnacentral:rRNA from 1 species
UACGUAGGGGGCUAGCGUUGUCCGGAAUCAUUGGGCGUAAAGAGCGUGUAGGCGGUCCGGUAAGUCCGCUGUGAAAGUCGGGGGCUCAACCCUCGAAUGCCGGUGGAUACUGUCGGGCUAGAGUGCGGAAGAGGCGAGUGGAAUUCCUGGUGUAGCGGUGAAAUGCGUAGAUAUCGUAAGGAAGACCAGUGGCGAAGGCGGGUCUCUGGACAGUUCCUGACACUGAGACACGAAGGCCAGGGGAGCAAACGGG